rnacentral:lncRNA from 13 species
AUGUGUACCCGAUACACACACACACACACACACACACACACACACACACACACACACACACACACACACACACACACACACACACACACACACACACACACACACACACACACACACACACACACACACACACACNNNNNNNNNNCCUAUAGACAGAACUAUCUGCCCCCUUAUAGACAGAACUAUCUGCCCCCUAUAGACAGAACUAUCUGCCCCCUUAUAGACAGAACUAUCUGCCCCCUUAUAGACAGAACUAUCUGCCCCUUUACAGACGGAACGAUUUUUGUUUCACCUAGUCUAAAUUCUUAACUGGGUUACAGUAGUCAUAUAGACUUAUCUGGAAUGUUCCAUCCUAUACGUAAGACCUUAACACUGUGCACGUGUGCUUAAAUGGGUUGUUAUGAUUAAACAUCUUUUAAUUAUUUCACUUAUAGUCAACAGAAUAACAUGCUCGCUCAAAACACACUCCCCAUAACCUGAAAUAAAUCUGAAAAUGUCGAGGAAUUUAACACCUCUAAUAUGGCUAAUGUUGAUGACGCCAACAGAACGUCUGGUAUUUCUACUGUAGACAGACUAACAUGUAGCUAUUAGCCAUCUAGCAACUAGCUAAGAUCUAAAAAAAAAAACAGAUGAAUACAAAUAAAGUCAUUUUAUGUCUAAAACAAAGUAGAUGUCUAUUCCUGAGAAUCUAAGUGAUACAAAAUCAAAAUUCAACAUGGACAAAAUUGUGAUAAUCCUUUUUUAAAUAGGAUUAAAUUCGAUCUUUCUGCAUUUUUUGUCAUGUCCAUGUGGCAAAACUGCAUCCUUGACAAUAAUACAGUACUGCAAAAACAAGUAUAAACUGUUUUUCAAAAACAUGACAGAACAUCACAAGCCUACCCCACUAGGUCCCUGUGUGGAUCAGUUGGUAGAGCAGGGCACUUGCAAUGCCAGGGUUGUGGGUUCAAAUCCCACAAGGGACAAUUACAAACAUAAAGUACAAAAAAAUGUAUGCUCACUAUUGUAAGUUGCUCUGGAUAAGAGCGUCAAGUCAAAUGUACUAAAACUAAUAUAUAUUUUUUGAAACGUUGCAAUGGCUCUAGUAAGACAGUGUUGGGUUCUUCUAUUCAAAGCUAAUGAGCAUUACAGGGCAGUGCAAGUGUCUGUCUGGCACAUGGAAGCAGAGAAAUUAAUCUUGUGUGUGCGUAAUAUGUUAUUACUAUGUGUAAUAACUAUGUGCAUGGUUGGAGUGCUGGUCCAUUUUAGGAGAUAGGUGUUCCGAGUUUUGUAAAAUUAUUAUUCCUUACAUUUAGGAAAAACCUUUUGAAGCAAAAUCAAAACAGUAUGACACAUUUUAAUAUAUACAGUGGGGAGAACAAGUAUUUGAUACACUGGCGAUUUUGCAGGUUUUCCUACUUACAAAGCAUGUAUAUGUCUAUAAUUUUUUAUCAAAUGAAUUACUUAAAAAUCAUACAAUGUGAUUUUCUGGAUUUUUGUUUUAGAUUCCGUCUCUCACAGUUGAAGUGUACCUAUGAUAAAAAAAAUUAUAGACCUCUACAUGCUUUGUAAGUAGAAAAACCUGCAAAAUCGGCAGUGUAUCAAAUACUUUGUCUCCCCACUGUAUAUAUUUUUGUUAUCUAAGAAUUAUCUGAACGUAAUCGUGAAUUGUGGUUCUCAUUUGAUGAUCAUCCCUUUUCAUCUCCCCAGUCUGUCCCUCACCUAGCCUGGGCGGCUCGGUUUCUGCUCUCAUAACAACUGACGCGAGAUCAGAAACAGACUGUCACCCUGGCUAUUCCUCACCCCUUCUCUCCC